rnacentral:rRNA from 2 species
AGCACGCGCAGACCCUUACCAGGUCUUGACAUCCUUUGCACCACCCAAGAGAUUGGGCUUCCCCUUCGGGGGCAAAGUGACGGGGGGUGCAUGGUUGUCCUCAGCUCGUGUCGGGAGAUGUUGGGUUAAGCCCCGCAACGAGCGCAACCCUUGAUCUUAGUUGCCAGCAUUAAGUUGGGCACUCUAAGGGGACUGCCGGGGACAAACCGGAGGAAGGGGGGGAUGACGUCAAAUCAUCGUGCCCCUUAUGACCGGGGCUACACACGUGCUACAAGGGAGGGUACAAAGGGCAGCGAACCCGCGAGGGGAACCCAAUCCCAUAAAGCCAUUCUCAGUUCGGAUUGCGGGCUGCAACUCCCCUGCAUGAAGCCGGAAUUGCUAGUAAUCGCGGAUCAGCAUGCCGCGGUGAAUACUUUCCCGCC